rnacentral:rRNA from 1 species
AGGCAAUGGCUGCUGGACUGGAUAGCUGAAACGCCACCCUUCCACUCUACGAUUCUGGUGGUGGCUAUGUGGCAUAUUUGGGAGAACAGGAACAACUAUCGUAAUGGUGAGCCACUGCUAAAUCCUCUUUGUGUCGUGGGGAAAAUUAAGGCCUAUAUUGAAUUCAUGAAUUUAUGUAAUGUCAGCCCGCCAAUCUCCUACAGACGUGAGACCUCGACAUCAAUUCAGAAAUGGUCUCGGCCGCCGGAAGGUUGGUUGCUGAUCAACGUCGACGCUGCAAUUUUUGCCCAAUCGGGAAGAGCUGGCUUUGGAAUUGUGGUUCGAGAUCAUCUUGGAGCGCUUGUGGCAGCACAUCAAGGUUUGUUUGAUCAUACCCAAAGUCCUGAAGUGGCUGAAGCUCUUGCUGUUCGUCAGGCCCUAGUACUUGCCAAAAAUGCUGGAUUUCAGAAUGUUCAGGUAGCCUCUGAUUGCCUGACAUUGAUCAACAAGCUGCAAUUUACUGGGCUAGACAGAUCCCCUGUUGGUGCCAUUGUCCAGGAUAUUAAAUCUGCCGCUACAAAGUUUUUAUCUUGUGUUUUCUGUCAUGUAAAACGUUGUUGUAAUGAGGCAGCCCAUGUCCUUGCAAGAUCUGCAGGACAUAAUGCUGAGUCUAGCUGGUUUAAUGUGCCUCCUGACGAGAUCAGGGCCAUUAUAUGCAAUGAACAAAUCAUGAAUGAAUGA